UAACACAUGCAAGUCGAACGAAGCACUUUAUUUGAUUUCCUUCGGGACUGAUUAUUUUGUGACUGAGUGGCGGACGGGUGAGUAACGCGUGGGUAACCUGCCUUGUACAGGGGGAUAACAGUUGGAAACGGCUGCUAAUACCGCAUAAGCGCACGGCAUCGCAUGAUGCAGUGUGAAAAACUCCGGUGGUAUAAGAUGGACCCGCGUUGGAUUAGCUAGUUGGUGAGGUAACGGCCCACCAAGGCGACGAUCCAUAGCCGACCUGAGAGGGUGACCGGCCACAUUGGGACUGAGACACGGCCCAAACUCCUACGGGAGGCAGCAGUGGGGAAUAUUGCACAAUGGGCGAAAGCCUGAUGCAGCGACGCCGCGUGAGCGAAGAAGUAUUUCGGUAUGUAAAGCUCUAUCAGCAGGGAAGAUAAUGACGGUACCUGACUAAGAAGCACCGGCUAAAUACGUGCCAGCAGCCGCGGUAAUACGUAUGGUGCAAGCGUUAUCCGGAUUUACUGGGUGUAAAGGGAGCGCAGGCGGUGCGGCAAGUCUGAUGUGAAAGCCCGGGGCUCAACCCCGGUACUGCAUUGGAAACUGUCGUACUAGAGUGUCGGAGGGGUAAGCGGAAUUCCUAGUGUAGCGGUGAAAUGCGUAGAUAUUAGGAGGAACACCA
rnacentral:rRNA from 1 species